AUGUUGCCUAUACAUUAUUUCACUAGAAACCAAUCUGAAAAUAAGGUGAUGGUUGUGUUUGUGUACCGCAGGAGGUGGAGUUAAUCAGGAGCAUCCAGGCUCUGUUGAAGAGAACGCUGAGUCAGGCUGUCAAUCAAAUCAAGAACAGAACGUACAUAAACCAAAAAUCAACUCGCUGAUGGGACGUUCCAUUAUAAGGAGAGUGGCCAGCUCCAAGG